rnacentral:rRNA from 1 species
UACGUAGGGUGCGAGCGUUGUCCGGAAUUAUUGGGCGUAAAGGGCUCGUAGGCGGUUUGUCGCGUCGGGAGUGAAAACCCAGGGCUUAACCCUGGGCUGGCUUCCGAUACGGGCAGACUAGGGGUAUGCAGGGGAGAACGGAAUUCCUGGUGUAGCGGUGAAAUGCGCAGAUAUCAGGAGGAACACCGGUGGCGAAGGCGGUUCUCUGGGCAUUACCUGACGCUGAGGAGCGAAAGUGUGGGGAGCGAACAGG